CAGUAGCCGCGGUAAUACAGAGGGUGCGAGCGUUAAUCGGAUUUACUGGGCGUAAAGCGUGCGUAGGCGGCUUUUUAAGUCGGAUGUGAAAUCCCUGAGCUUAACUUAGGAAUUGCAUUCGAUACUGGGAAGCUAGAGUAUGGGAGAGGAUGGUAGAAUUCCAGGUGUAGCGGUGAAAUGCGUAGAGAUCUGGAGGAAUACCGAUGGCGAAGGCAGCCAUCUGGCCUAAUACUGACGCUGAUGGACGAAAGCGUGGGGAGCGAACAGGAUUAGAUACCCCGGUAGUCCCUGUCUCUUAUAC
rnacentral:rRNA from 1 species